rnacentral:rRNA from 1 species
GACGAACGCUGGCGGCGUGCUUAACACAUGCAAGUCGAACGGUGAAGGGACCGGUUUUUGCUGGUCCUGGAUGAGUGGCGAACGGGUGAGUAACACGUGAGUAACCUGCCCCCUUCUUCUGGAUAACCGCAUGAAAGUGUGGCUAAUACGGGAUAUUCUGCGCCUGCUGCAUGGUGGGUGUGGGAAAGAUAUUGUUUCGGUGGGGGAUGGGCUCGCGGCCUAUCAGCUUGUUGGUGGGGUGAUGGCCUACCAAGGCGGUGACGGGUAGCCGGCCUGAGAGGGUGGCCGGUCACACUGGGACUGAGACACGGCCCAGACUCCUACGGGAGGCAGCAGUGGGGAAUAUUGCACAAUGGGCGCAAGCCUGAUGCAGCGACGCCGCGUGAGGGAUGGAGGCCUUCGGGUUGUAAACCUCUUUCGCCAGUGAAGCAGGCCUGUCCCUUUUGUGGGUGGGUUGACGGUAGCUGGAUAAGAAGCGCCGGCUAACUACGU